CUAAGGUAGCGAAAUUCCUUGUCGGCUAAAUACUGACCUGCACGAAAGGCGCAAUGAUCUCUCAACUGUCUCAACACUAGACUCGGUGAAAUUAUGGUCCCAGUGAAAACGCUGGGUACCCGCAUCAAGACGAAAAGACCCCAUGGAGCUUUACUACAGUUUCGUAUUGGAACUUGGUCUAACAUGUGUAGGAUAGGUGGGAGACUUUGAAGCGAGGACGCUAGUUCUCGUGGAGUCAUCCUUGAAAUACCACCCUUGGUAUAUUGAGUUUCUAACAUGCCAUCAUCAUCAGGUGGGUGGACAGUGCGUGACGGGUAGUUUGACUGGGGCGGUCGCCUCCUAAAGAGUAACGGAGGCGUUCAAAGGUACACUCAGUACGGUCAGAAACCGUAUGUAGAGCGCAAAGGUAGAAGUGUGCUUGACUGUGAGACUUACAAGUCGAGCAGGUGCGAAAGCAGGACUUAGUGAUCCGGCUGUACAUUGUGGAAUGGCAGUCGCUCAACGGAUAAAAGUUACCCUGGGGAUAACAGGCUUAUCUUGCCCAAGAGAUCACAUCGACGGCAAGGUUUGGCACCUCGAUGUCGGCUCAUCGCAUCCUGGAGCUGGAGUCGGUUCCAAGGGUUGGGCUGUUCGCCCAUUAAAGCGGUACGCGAGCUGGGUUCAAAACGUCGUGAGACAGUUUGGUCCCUAUCUGAUGUGGGCGUUGGAAUAUUGAUGAGAGCCGCUCUUAGUACGAGAGGACCGGAGUGG
rnacentral:rRNA from 2 species